ACAGAAAGUAGUUUAAGGAAAAAAAUUUUAGUUUUGGGGACUAGAGAUGAGGAGAGAUCCUUUCUG
rnacentral:tRNA from 1 species